rnacentral:rRNA from 1 species
CAUGCAGUCGAACGGUGAAGCCAAGCUUGCUUGGUGGAUCAGUGGCGAACGGGUGAGUAACACGUGAGCAACCUGCCCUGGACUCUGGGAUAAGCGCUGGAAACGGCGUCUAAUACUGGAUAUGAGACGUGAUCGCAUGGUCGUGUUUGGAAAGAUUUUUCGGUCUGGGAUGGGCUCGCGGCCUAUCAGCUUGUUGGUGAGGUAAUGGCUCACCAAGGCGUCGACGGGUAGCCGGCCUGAGAGGGUGACCGGCCACACUGGGACUGAGACACGGCCCAGACUCCUACGGGAGGCAGCAGUGGGGGAAUAUUGCACAAUGGGCGGAAGCCUGAUGCAGCAACGCCGCGUGAGGGAUGACGGCCUUCGGGUUGUAAACCUCUUUUAGCAGGGAAGAAGCGAAAGUGACGGUACCUGCAGAAAAAGCGCCGGCUAACUACGUGCCAGCAGCCGCGGUAAUACGUAGGGCGCAAGCGUUAUCCGGAAUUAUUGGGCGUAAAGAGCUCGUAGGCGGUUUGUCGCGUCUGCUGUGAAAUCCCGAGGCUCAACCUCGGGCCUGCAGUGGGUACGGGCAGACUAGAGUGCGGUAGGGGAGAUUGGAAUUCCUGGUGUAGCGGUGGAAUGCGCAGAUAUCAGGAGGAACACCGAUGGCGAAGGCAGAUCUCUGGGCCGUAACUGACGCUGAGGAGCGAAAGGGUGGGGAGCAAACAGGCUUAGAUACCCUGGUAGUCCACCCCGUAAACGUUGGGAACUAGUUGUGGGGACCAUUCCACGGUUUCCGUGACGCAGCUAACGCAUUAAGUUCCCCGCCUGGGGAGUACGGCCGCAAGGCUAAAACUCAAAGGAAUUGACGGGGACCCGCACAAGCGGCGGAGCAUGCGGAUUAAUUCGAUGCAACGCGAAGAACCUUACCAAGGCUUGACAUAUACGAGAACGGGCCAGAAAUGGUCAACUCUUUGGACACUCGUAAACAGGUGGUGCAUGGUUGUCGUCAGCUCGUGUCGUGAGAUGUUGGGUUAAGUCCCGCAACGAGCGCAACCCUCGUUCUAUGUUGCCAGCACGUAAUGGUGGGAACUCAUGGGAUACUGCCGGGGUCAACUCGGAGGAAGGUGGGGAUGACGUCAAAUCAUCAUGCCCCUUAUGUCUUGGGCUUCACGCAUGCUACAAUGGCCGGUACAAAGGGCUGCAAUACCGUGAGGUGGAGCGAAUCCCAAAAAGCCGGUCCCAGUUCGGAUUGAGGUCUGCAACUCGACCUCAUGAAGUCGGAGUCGCUAGUAAUCGCAGAUCAGCAACGCUGCGGUGAAUACGUUCCCGGGUCUUGUACACACCGCCCGUCAAGUCAUGAAAGUCGGUAACACCUGAAGCCGGUGGCCCAACCCUUGUGGAGGGAGCCGUCGA